GAAUGCUGACAUAAGUAACGAUAAAGCGGGUGAAAAGCCCGCUCGCCGGAAGACCAAGGGUUCCUGUCCAACGUUAAUCGGGGCAGGGUGAGUCGACCCCUAAGGCGAGGCCGAAAGGCGUAGUCGAUGGGAAACAGGUUAAUAUUCCUGUACUUGGUGUUACUGCGAAGGGGGGACGGAGAAGGCUAUGUUAGCCGGGCGACGGUUGUCCCGGUUUAAGCAUGUAGGCUGGUUAUCCAGGCAAAUCCGGAUAAUCAA
rnacentral:rRNA from 2 species